UCCUUCACUAUAGUCUUUGGAUCAAACACUAUUCCACCUACCACCACCUACCACCAUCAUCUCAACCCUACAUCUCUCCAUCCAAUGGCUAAAAACUCAAAAACACCACUCCUUUGAUGCUUUUGACAGUAUUCUAGCUCAAGUCUAUAUAUAUAUAUAGUCCGGCUACUAUUCUUUUAUGAGUAUAGACCCCUUUGUACUCAUAUGUUUUCGAUUAUUAGAUCUACUCCUUUGAUCAUUUUCAUCCGUUAGAUCAUACUAUUCAACUAACCAUCCACUAAAUCCUAGGGGACCACUAUAAUCCUAAUU
rnacentral:lncRNA from 1 species